GCAAUAUCUUGUUCGAUAUAAGAUCUUGGCGAUCAAUCUUAUACCGAACGAGAUAUUGCCU
rnacentral:precursor_RNA from 1 species